UGGCUCAGGAUGAACGCUAGCGGCAGGCUUAAUACAUGCAAGUCGAGGGGCAGCGCGGGUAGCAAUACUUGGCGGCGACCGGCAAACGGGUGCGGAACACGUACGCAACCUUCCCAAAACUGGGGAAUAGCCCUCCGAAAGGAGGAUUAAUACCCCGUAACACAAUUAAGAGGCAUCUCUUGAUUGUUAUAGCUCAGGCGGUUUUGGAUGGGCGUGCGGCUGAUUAGGUAGUUGGCGGGGUAACGGCCCACCAAGCCAUCGAUCAGUAACUGGUGUGAGAGCACGACCAGUCACACGGGCACUGAGACACGGGCCCGACUCCUACGGGAGGCAGCAGUAAGGAAUAUUGGUCAAUGGACGCAAGUCUGAACCAGCCAUGCCGCGUGAAGGAUGAAGGCCCUCUGGGUUGUAAACUUCUUUUAUCUGGGACGAAAAAAGGGGAUUCUUCCUCACUUGACGGUACCAGAGGAAUAAGCACCGGCUAACUCCGUGCCAGCAGCCGCGGUAAUACGGAGGGUGCAAGCGUUAUCCGGAUUCACUGGGUUUAAAGGGUGCGUAGGUGGGCAGGUAAGUCAGUGGUGAAAUCUUCGAGCUUAACUCGGAAACUGCCAUUGAUACUAUCUGUCUUGAAUAUCCUGGAGAUGAGCGGAAUAUGUCAUGUAGCGGUGAAAUGCUUAGAUAUGACAUAGAACACCAAUUGCGAAGGCAGCUCACUACGGGAUGAUUGACGCUGAGGCACGAAAGCGUGGGGAUCAAACAGGAUUAGAUACCCUGGUAGUCCACGCCCUAAACGAUGGAUACUCGACAUAUGCGAUACACUGUAUGUGUCUGAGCGAAAGCAUUAAGUAUCCCACCUGGGAAGUACGACCCGCAGGUUGAAACUCAAAGGAAUUGACGGGGGGUCGCACAAGCGNUGG
rnacentral:rRNA from 1 species